UUUGCAGAAGGGUCCUGGGGGUCAAUAGAGUCUCGAUUGCUCAACUCUUCAUUAAACUACAGGUUUAUAGGUUAUUUGAUAAUAAGUCCAGAAUGCAGCUGCUGUAGAGGAGCUUCUAAUGCACUUUUCUAUUACUUCAAGAACACUGUGUAUAAUAAUAAACUCUACAGAAAUAAACCAAAGCACAAGAAGCUUUCAGGUCUGGAGGCUGACAUUUCUCAAGACAACAGUUUUUGAGAAUCAUGAUGAGGCAUUAAAGAAGAGGAGGAGUGUCUCAAGGGAGGUGAGCUGGAGGUGAUGCAAGAGGAUGUCAGAUCUGAAAGCAUGUUGUGGUCCGCUACACACAAGAGCAAAAGAAGAGCAGGAAGGAGCUCAGUGCCAAGACCAUAGCCACAGAAAGAAAACCAGCUCUUAGGGCUGCAGCUCUAAAGACAGGCCAGGUCAUUACAGGAACGUCUGCUCCCUUAGCCUUGCCAGACAGAGGAGGGUUAAGAAAGGAACUGCUGACCCUGACAUGCAAACUGCCACGAGUGCUUCCUGCCUUUCUAUCAGCGUCAGAUGGCUAGCGAUGGAUGGCUGUAAGGUUGAUGUUCAGGGCCACGGUGCUGGUUGGGUGCACCAGAAAAAUCAACCAACAGAUUAAAGAGUGAUGGAGAAAGCUGUGUUUUGGGCCUCAUUUGGGAACAGAAUGGAAGAGUUGAGGGUGGAAGGGACCUCAGCAAGUCUUCUGAUCCAUGUUUCAACCUUCAUUUCCCCAUAACCUCAAGGAGAGAAUUGCUUUUCCUGUUCUUCAAAUGAGUUCCUUGAAUUCACACUCUAUUUCUUUGAAUUUGCACAGACUGUUGAGGAACAGGCGGCAGGGUCACUCUGCUGGUUGGACAAGCAACUGAAGAACAGGAACAGAAGUGAAUGAAAAGAGAAGAUGCUGUGUUUGUGUUUUCUCUUGAUUAGAAUGCUGUGAGUCAGGACCUCAGCUGCUGGGUGUCCUGGGACUGCCUUCUCCCCUGCAGUCCUCAGGCAGCAGGCUGCCCUUCUGCAAUCAGUUUACUUCUGGAAGGCGCUGUAGAUACUCAGCCUAAUUUGAUUUUCCGUGUGUAAAGACCCUCUCUAUCAUAUAAACCACUUACACUGAAUUACAAAGUGAACCUGAUCUAUGGUGAAUUGUACUAAUGUUCUGCUUCUGCCAUGGGCACCAGAGGAGAUAACUGAUAUGUUAAUUUUUAACCCAAACUUCUUAGUCUGACAUUCCAGCAAUACUGGAGCAUUAACCGUUGAUAAUAGCUCUAUGUGCUGCCUCUCCAGGAAACAAAUUUGCAUUUUAACCUGCACCUUCAAUGGCUGAACUUCAAAGGGUCACUGAUGAAUGCCACAGCAGGUUGGUGGGAAUAUAAUUCUUUUUAUGGAUAAUAUAAAUCCUACCACAUAAGUCACUAACCUAUGGGUAAGGCCAGUCUUGACCUAAAAUGAGGAAUUCUGUAAAAUUUCAAAUGCAAAUCACAUUUUAUUUUUGAUGUUAGAGAAAACUGCAAAUUGGAACAGCAGAGCUGUGCCUCUGGCCAUUUCCUGGAACUACAGAGGAGCAACUUGCCCCUGGUUUCCAGCGGGUGAUGUUCCUCUUCUGCCACAGCCCCCAGCGAUGUUGAUGUGAUUGCCAUCAGAGCUCAGAAGCACAGAGCAGAAUCAUCCCCUGGAGGAGGAUUCCCUUCAGUGUAAGAAGUUCUUACAGAAUUAAUCCUCAAAGACUGUGGGUGGACUCUGCCAGGUUUUUCCCCGGGUGUACCAGAAGAGAGGAAGAGCCCUCAAAUACAGGAAAGUGCUCUUUUCAGUGACAGUAGUUCUUUUGGGCCCUGUGGCUAAGUGUGCUCCCACCCCAGCAGUAAGAUCACAGCUAAUCCUGAGAGGCAAGAGCUCACACCAGGCUACUGAAAGAAAAAGUGUCCUUUGUGGAUUGCAAGAGGAACUGGGACACACUGCUGGAAAUUAAGUGGCAGGUCAUAAACUAUCAUAAACUCAGGAGGAGAGGUGUUCCUUUUUGAGACACUCAUCACAACUAGAGAGAAUGCAGCUAAGAAAAUGCAGUCUUUAGGGGGACCUGGGCUGUUGAAGUAUUUGAGCUAUUCGGAGGAAAUAGAAACUUGGAAGAGAUCUUUGUUCCACUAUUAUUUGGCAGCCCCUUACCCGCAGCUGCCAUUACUCCAGAUUCUCUCUGAUGAUCCUGCAUCAGGAGAAUGAGUUGACUGGACACCACUGGGAAAUGUGGGCAGCUCCAGGCUGAACUAGAGAAGGGGCAUGUCAAAGGUCACUUAUUUGUGGCUUGACCCUUUGGAGGCCAGAUGUAAGAAUCAAUUUCUCACAGGUCCCAUGCUAACGCUUUUCAUAUUUAUUUCCAUCUGAGACUCACUUAGGCUAGGCAAAUAUCCCAUAGGUCUGUACCUCUCCAGUGCUUUCUUGCUCAUGUAAAAUUAGCUCAUUGGAAUGAAUAAAGAGAAUGGUAUUACUUUGGCUCGAACA
rnacentral:lncRNA from 1 species